rnacentral:misc_RNA from 1 species
CAAGUGACCCCCGGAUUACCUCCGGGAUGUUCAUAACCCUUUGUUGUCCGACUCUGUUGCCUCCGGGGCGACCCUGCCUUCUGGCGGGGGCCCCGGGUGGACAAAUUCAAACUCUUGCGUAACUUUGCAGUCUGAGUAAAUUUAAUUAAUAAAUUA